UACGGGGGGUGCGAGCGUUGUCCGGAAUCACUGGGCGUAAAGGGCGCGUAGGUGGUUUGAUAAGGGUGUGGUGAAAGUCCGGGGCUCAACCCCGGAUCUGCCGUGCCGACUGUCAAACUCGAGGACUGUAGAGGCAGACGGAAUUCCGGGUGUGGCGGUGGAAUGCGUAGAGAUCCGGAGGAAGACCGGUGGCGAAGGCGGUCUGCUGGGCAGUUUCUGACACUGAGGCGCGACAGCGUGGGGAGCAAACAGG
rnacentral:rRNA from 1 species